rnacentral:rRNA from 1 species
UACGGAGGGUGCAAGCGUUAUUCGGAAUUACUGGGCGUAAAGCGCGUGUAGGUGGUUUGGUAAGUCUGGUGUGAAAUCCCGGGGCUCAAUUCCGGAAGUGCAUUGGAUACUGCCAAACUUGAGUGCAGGAGAGGAGAGCGGAAUUCCAGGUGUAGAGGUGAAAUUCGUAGAUAUCUGGAGGAACAACAGAGGCGAAGGCGGCUCUCUGGACUGCAACUGACACUGAGACGCGACAGCGUGGGGAGCAAACAGG